rnacentral:rRNA from 1 species
AGCAGCCGCGGUAAUUCCAGCUCCAAUAGCGUAUAUUAAAGUUGUUGCAGUUAAAAAGCUCGUAGUUGAAUUUCGGGAUCAAUUCGUCGGUCGUGCUUUUUGGUACGUACUGGCGUUAUUGGUUUCUCCUUUCUGACGAGCCAUGAUGUCAUUAAUUUGGUGUUAUGGGGAGUCAGGACUGUUACUUUGAAAAAAUUGAGUGUUUAAAGCAGGCAUUAGCUUGAAUACAUUAGCAUGGAAUAAUGAAAUAGGACGUUCGAUCCUAUUUUGUUGGUUUCUAGGAUCAACGUAAUGAUUAAUAGGGAUAGUGGGGCAUUAGUAUUCAAUUGUCAGAGGUAGU